rnacentral:rRNA from 1 species
UACGUAGGGUGCAGGCGUUAAUCGGAAUUACUGGGCGUAAAGCGUGCGCAGGCGGUUUUGUAAGCCAGAUGGGAAAUCCCCGGGCUUAACCUGGGAAUGGCAUUUGGGACUGCAAGGCUCGAGUGCGGCAGAGGAGACUGGAAUUCCUGGUGUAGCAGUGAAAUGCGUAGAUAUUCGGAAGAACACCAGUGGCGAAGGCGACUUACUGGACGAUUGUUGACGCUGAGGUGCGAAAGCGUGGGGAGCAAACAGG